UGCGUAGGCGGUCCGCUGUGUCCCGUGUGAAAGCCCCGGGCUUAACCUGGGAAUUGCAUGGGAAACUGGCGGGCUUGAGUGUGGCAGAGGAGGGUGGAAUUCCGCGUGUAGCAGUGAAAUGCGUAGAGAUGCGGAGGAACACCGAUGGCGAAGGCAGCCCUCUGGGCCAACACUGACGCUCAGGCACGAAAGCGUGGGGAGCAAACAGGAUUAGAUACCCUGGUAGUCCACGCCCUAAACGAUGUCGACUAGGUGUUGGGGAAGCGAUUCCUUGGUACCGUAGCUAACGCGUGAAGUCGACCGCCUGGGGAGUACGGCCGCAAGGUUAAA
rnacentral:rRNA from 1 species